rnacentral:RNase_P_RNA from 1 species
GGAGGCAGAUGGAGGAUCGCUGGCGGGGCCGCUCUCGGGCGGUGCUCGGGCGGUGACCGCGGGAGGAAAGUCCGGGCUCCAUAGGGCAGGGAGGUCGUUAACGGCGACCCGGGGCAACCCGAGGGAAAGCGCCGCAGAAACCACACCGCCGAUGGCCCGGCCGCUUCGGCAGCCGGGCACAGGCAAGGGUGAAAUCGUGGGGUAAGAGCCCACGCGCGACAGCCGGGUGACCGGCGGCGGGGCAAGCCCCUCCCGGAGCAAACUCGAAUAGGGACACCGCAAGGACGGCCCGUCCGUGACCCGGCCGCGAGGCCGGGGCCGGUGUCCGGGUGGAGCGCUCGAGCGGCGCAGCAAUGCGUCGCCUAGAUGAAUGAUCCUCGCCGGCGCGUUCGCGCGUCGGAACAGAACCCGGCUUACAGUCCGCUCCGGGA